GACAGUGACAUGUUUAAUGGUCGGUUCCUCCCAGGGUCAUAGUGUACUAAUGACAGUGACAUGUUUAAUGGUCAGUCCCUCCCAGGGUCACAGCGUACUAAUGACAGUGACAUGUUUAAUGGUCAGUCCCUCCCAGGGUCACAGUGUACUAAUGGCAGUGACAUGUUUAAUGGUCGGUCUCUCCCAGGGUCACAGUGUACUAAUGGCAGUGACAUGUUUAAUGGUCGGUCUCUCCCAGGGUCACAGUGUACUAAUGACAGUGACAUGUUUAAUGGUCAGUCCCUCCCAGGGUCACAGUGUACUAAUGGCAGUGACAUGUUUAAUGGUCGGUCUCUCCCAGGGUCACAGUGUACUAAUGACAGUGACAUGUUUAAUGGUCAGUCCCUCCCAGGGUCACAGUGUACUAAUGACGGUGACAUGUUUA